AUUGAACGCUGGCGGCAUGCCUUACACAUGCAAGUCGAACGGUAACGGGCCUUCGGGUGCCGACGAGUGGCGAACGGGUGAGUAAUACAUCGGAACGUGCCCGAUCGUGGGGGAUAACGAGGCGAAAGCUUUGCUAAUACCGCAUACGAUCUACGGAUGAAAGCAGGGGACCGCAAGGCCUUGCGCGGACGGAGCGGCCGAUGGCGGAUUAGGUAGUUGGUGGGAUAAAAGCUUACCAAGCCGACGAUCUGUAGCUGGUCUGAGAGGAUGAUCAGCCACACUGGGACUGAGACACGGCCCAGACUCCUACGGGAGGCAGCAGUGGGGAAUUUUGGACAAUGGGCGCAAGCCUGAUCCAGCCAUGCCGCGUGCAGGAUGAAGGCCUUCGGGUUGUAAACUGCUUUUGUACGGAACGAAAAGCCUUCUUUUAAUACAGGAGGGUCAUGACGGUACCGUAAGAAUAAGCACCGGCUAACUACGUG
rnacentral:rRNA from 1 species